rnacentral:rRNA from 1 species
UACGUAGGAACCAAGCGUUGUCCGGAAUUACUGGGUAUAAAGGGUGCGCAGGCGGGUCUGUGCGUCAGAGGUUAAAUAUCCCGGCUCAACUGGGAAAAUGCCUUUGAUACGGCAGAUCUUGAGUACGAGAGAGGAUGGUAGAAUUCUUGGUGUAGCGGUGAAAUGCGUAGAUAUCAAGAGGAAUACCAGUGGCGAAGGCGGCCAUCUGGCUCGUUACUGACGCUCAUGCACGAAAGCGUGGGGAG